AGUAUCAGAGUUUUUCUUCUGGAGUUUUAAGGUAGAUGCUAGUUUUAUCAAGUUGAUGAAUCUUCUUUGUGUGCAAGUGCCCAAUGUGAUUAAAAUAAAAAUAAAAAUAGCUGUAUUUGUUGGAAAUUGCUUUUGAGAAUCUGGAAUUUAAUAAUUAUAGUCAUCUGAAAACUGUUUCUAGUUGCUGGAAAUUGUAUUUAGCUGCAGGGAAGAUAAUGUAGCUGCUGGAAUUUGGAGAUUUGUUACUGGGAUCCGUUAUUGUUAUAGGUUAUAUUUUGGGGAGAUUACCAUCCAUUUAUUCAAUACCCUUUAAUGUUCACGAUAGCAAUUGAUCGGGUCCAAUUAAAUCCCUGAUCAAUUUCAUCCUUCUGAUUGCAACUUGAGAAAAAAUUUAUUUCUUUCCCGGAAAACUCAGUUAACCGAGAUUUGUGAUUCCUGGCCACUUAUCAAAUGAAGCCACAUGACAAUGAGAUUUUUUGUUGGAUUUUUAGGGGAAUAUGUUUUCUAGUGCAUGUAGAAUGAACAUGUAACUUCCCAUGCACAUCUGAUAUGAUGGGAAAAUACCCCUCCUUAACUGUAUUCUUCCACAUCUGCGUGACCAACAGAGUUCUGUGUAGUAAUAAGCGAAGUUCUGACAGUUGCAAAGGAGGCUUCAUUCACUAUUUGCUAAUUAGCUAAUGUGACUGCAUGUUGUAUCCCUUUAAGAGAAGCAGGACUGCAUGUCCCUUCAAGAGAAGCAGGUGAGAAGCAGGACUCCAUAUGGAGUUGGAAGUAAGUCUCUCUUCUAAUUGCUAUUUCAGUUUUAGCACGAGUAUGGUGUCACUUUCGAUGCGUUGAUCGUCUAAUCUGAAAUUUCAGCUGCUUUUUGAUAACCAUGACAGUCUGAGAAUUGUACAAGUAUUCAUGCAAAAAGAGAGGAGGCAAAUCACAGCUUAAGGGUGGGAUACCAGCCGCUCAUCAGGCUGACUUUGUGAACUGCUAUGCCAGAAAUCUGGCUUGUUUACUCAUUAAGUGGGCCAUGGGAAUACGUGGAAAAGCGGAUGAUUGGAAAAAAGAUGCCCAUCUGUUCACAAAUGUACUGGUGUAGCCAACCUGAUUUGUGGACCUUCGUAAUGUUUAUGCCACAUCAGGUUCCAAGUGGCCCAGCUCUGGUACAUGUUUGCUGUGUUGCAUUUUUUCUGUGAAUCACCUACUUAGUCUCUCCUUGCAAUUCACUUCUCAAUCAUCUGGAUCCCUUACAUUUCAAGUGAUUUGCCCAAGCGUUCUCUAGUAUUCCUGUAUGUGUAAUAUACUGCAGAGAAACAUUCAAAAAACCAGAUUAGACUGGUUAGUUUGACCUGUUUUGAUAGAAUGGGGAACUCUGUGGUCCAGUUAGAUCUGCAGAUGUUUUACCAUCUAUGGUGGCUUGGUCUUUAGUCCUGGUUUGGUUUGCCCUUUAACUGGGCAGCAUGGUGUGCCAUAAAAGCCGUUACGUAAAGGUAACGGUGGCAACCAUUACGCGUUUCGGGAUCGUAACGGCUGUAACAGCCAUUAUGGAAAAAAUGACCUAUAAUUGCCGUUAAUGGCACAUUACGUCCCUGUAAAGGCCAUAAUAGCCCUGUAAUGGUCUAUUACGAGGCAGAUACAAGUUUUUCAUACUUUUAAUCAACAUUACUGGGCAGAUACAGGUUUUUUGAGGUUUUUUUCAAAAAAAUAAAUAAAUAAUAACAGCCGUUGUGCCCCAUAUCGUAAAGGUAAUGGUGGUGGCCGUUACGGCCACCGUUACCGUUACGGAACACCUUGCUGGGCAGUUCAGCAUGUCAUGCCACUUUCUGCUUUUCUCCUCCUCCUUUGGAUGCCUCUAGAUACAUCUUUUUAUUUUCUAUUUUCUCAAAAUGUUCACCUU